rnacentral:rRNA from 2 species
AUGGCUCAGGACGAACGCUGGCGGCGUGCCUAAUACAUGCAAGUCGAGCGAACAGAAGGGAGCUUGCUCCCGGAUGUUAGCGGCGGACGGGUGAGUAACACGUGGGUAACCUGCCUGUAAGACUGGGAUAACUCCGGGAAACCGGAGCUAAUACCGGAUAGUUCCUUGAACCGCAUGGUUCAAGGAUGAAAGACGGUUUCGGCUGUCACUUACAGAUGGACCCGCGGCGCAUUAGCUAGUUGGUGGGGUAAUGGCUCACCAAGGCGACGAUGCGUAGCCGACCUGAGAGGGUGAUCGGCCACACUGGGACUGAGACACGGCCCAGACUCCUACGGGAGGCAGCAGUAGGGAAUCUUCCGCAAUGGACGAAAGUCUGACGGAGCAACGCCGCGUGAGUGAUGAAGGUUUUCGGAUCGUAAAGCUCUGUUGUUAGGGAAGAACAAGUGCGAGAGUAACUGCUCGCACCUGACGGUACCUACCAG